rnacentral:rRNA from 1 species
UACGGAGGGGGCUAGCGUUGUUCGGAAUUACUGGGCGUAAAGCGCACGUAGGCGGAUACUUAAGUCAGGGGUGAAAUCCCGGGGCUCAACCCCGGAACUGCCUUUGAUACUGGGUAUCUCGAGUCCGGAAGAGGUGAGUGGAAUUCCGAGUGUAGAGGUGAAAUUCGUAGAUAUUCGCAAGAACACCAGUGGCGAAGGCGGCUCACUGGCCCGGUACUGACGCUGAGGUGCGAAAGCGUGGGGAGCAAACAGGG